ACAAUAUUGAUGGUGAUAUACCAGGUCAUAUGCAAUCCAACGUACAAAUUCAUGAUGCAAAUGAAGAUGACGAUGUAUUUGAAGAUGAUGAAGUAGAGAGCUGGAUGACCAAUGAAGGUAAGUAUGACGUAUUUU